GUAGGAGUGAGCCUGCUCGCGAUGGCGUCAGGUCAGCCAACUCUUCUGUGACUGACACACCGCAAUCGCGAGCAGGCUCACUCCUAC
rnacentral:misc_RNA from 1 species